AUUGAACGCUGGCGGCAGGCCUAACACAUGCAAGUCGAACGAGUGGCGGACGGGUGAGUAAUGUCUGGGACACUGCCUGAUGGAGGGGGAUAACUACUGGAAACGGUAGCUAAUACCGCAUACCAUCAGAUGUGCCCAUAUGGGAUUCGCGAGUAGGUUGGGUAAUGGCUCACCUAGGCGACGAUCCCUAGCUGGUCUGAGAGUAUGACCAGCCACACUGGAACUGAGACACGGUCCAGACUCCUACGGGAGGCAGCAGUGGGGAAUAUUGCACAAUGGGCGCAAGCCUGAUGCAGCCAUGCCGCGUGUAUGAAGAAGGCCUUAGGGUUGUAAAGUACUUUCAGCGAGGAGGCGUUACUCGCAGAAGAAGCACCGGCUAACUCCGUGCCAGCAGCCGCGGUAAUUC
rnacentral:rRNA from 1 species